CAGUCGCCACGGUAAUACGGAGGGUGCAAGCGUUAAUCGGAAUUACUGGGCGUAAAGCGUGCGUAGGUGGUGGUUUAAGUCCGUUGUGAAAGCCCUGGGCUCAACCUGGGAAUUGCAGUGGAUACUGGGUCACUAGAGUGUGGUAGAGGAUAGUGGAAUUUCCGGUGUAGCAGUGAAAUGCGUAGAGAUCGGAAGGAACAUCUGUGGCGAAGGCGACUAUCUGGGCCAACACUGACACUGAGGCACGAAAGCGUGGGGAGCAAACAGGAUUAGAUACCCGUGUAGUCCCUGUCUCUUAUAC
rnacentral:rRNA from 1 species